UACGUAAGUGGCGAGCGUUAUCCGGAAUUACUGGGCGUAAAGCGUGCGUAGGCGGUUUAGUGUGUGGGAAUUGAAAGCCCGGGGCUCAACUCCGGAUCCGGUUCCCAAACUGCUAGACUCGAGAGUAUCAGAGGAGAGCGGAAUUCCCGGUGUAGCGGUAAUAUGCGUAGAUAUCAGGAGGAACACCGGUGGCGAAGGCGGGUCUCUGGGGCCGAUAUUGACGCUGAGGAGCGAAAGCGUGGGGAGCAAACAGG
rnacentral:rRNA from 1 species